ensembl:lncRNA
CUAUGGGUGAAAGAGCUUAAAUGCCCGGAUGCUGAAUGGAGGCGUAGGUGCGAGGGAGCUCCGGAUUGGCUGCGCCGGAGUGAGCAGCUGAAGGGAGUUGAGAUGAUGAUGAUGAUGGAGACGAUGUGCAGGUGUGUCUCCCAGGUUGAAUUUACGCAGGCUUCUAUGGGCAGAAAUCUGUGCCAUCAGAAACUGAAUUUGAAUAAGUUAAAUUUGAAUCUGAAUUGUAACUUGAAUAAAUGCUUUUGAAAACUGAAUUUGAAUUAGUCGAAUUUGAAAUUGAAUUUAUGGUUUGAAAAUGAUCAUCACUAAAUUGAAAUUGAAUUUUAUAUAUUGAAAAUGAAUUCAUUUGCUUUGAAACUGCAUUUCAUCCUUUAAAAAUUCAGCUCUCGAAUAAUUUCAGUUUCACUCCCACCAUUCAGUUUCAGUUCUACAAUUCAAUUUCAGUUCCAAAAUUCAGUUUUUUAGGACUUACAUCCGGUUCCGGUUCAAGCGCAGAGUAAUAGAACUACAUUUUACAAGCGCACCGAACGUGUUACUGACGGGAAUCCACAGCGUCUUGAGCUGAAUUAAGACUUCAGAAGUCAUUCGUCAUGUCGAAUGACCAGCGGAUAAACUCUCAGGUGAAGAGCCCGAGGCUGGUGACAGUCCAGUUCUACUCCAAGUACAUCCUUACGGUGGCUCACAGGACAAGGCUACAUUCCUGUCCUGCCAGAAGAGAAGAGAAACUUCAGAGUCUUCAUGCAGUUCAACCACACCUGUCAUAUUCCGUAUGACAGGGGUCUCAAACUCCAGUCCUCGAGGGCCGGUGUCAUGCAACUUUUCCAUGUGUCCCUGGUGCAACACACCUGAAUACAAUUAGUAGGUUAUUAGCAAGAGUAUAGAACUUGACUGCAUGCUGAGGUGGCAACCCCUAACCCUACCUACCUACUCAAGUAAAUGUAUUUGGAAACAUGUACUUCUAAAAUACUUUUAUUGCACCAUGUUCAUUCACUCAUGAGCUGCUGUAACGUGAAUCAAAUGGCUGAAUUGCCAACUCAGCAUGCAUUCAAGUUCUAUACUCUUGCUAAUGAUCUACUAGGUGUGUUGCAAAAGUUGCAGGACAGCGGCCCUCGAGGACUGGAGUUUGAGACCCCUGCCGUAUGGUGUUCAUGCAGUUUUCUACCCCACAGUUACAGCAUGUCUGAUUGCCUGUUCAGCAUAUGCAAAAAUAUAUGAUGAGUUUAAGCAUGUGAUGACAAAGGCCUUCCAUUAUGGUGUUUGUCAUCACGUCACAGACAUCUGGAUGAUCAUUUGGAAUAAACAAAAAACUAAAAACUUG